GAUGAAGAACGCAGCGAAAUGCGAUACUUGGUGUGAAUUGCAGAAUCCCGUGAACCAUCGAGUCUUUGAACGCAAGUUGCGCCCGAAGCCAUUAGGCCGAGGGCACGCCUGCCUGGGCGUCACACGUCGUUGCCCCCCCAUCUCCUCCUUCGGGAUUGCGGGGGGCGGAUGAUGGCCUCCCGUGCGCCUCGUCGCGCGGUUGGCCUAAAUGCCAAGUCCUCGGCGACGCACGCCACGACAAUCGGUGGUUGCGAAACCUCGGUUGCCCGUCGUGUGCGGUCGUCGCGCAUCGAGGGCUCGAAAAAAUUGCCGGGCUCCGGCUCGACUUUCAACGCGACCCCAGGUCAGGCGGGGUUACCCGCUGAAUUUAAGCAUAUCAAUAAGCGGAGGA
rnacentral:misc_RNA from 1 species